rnacentral:rRNA from 1 species
GACGAACGCUGGCGGCGUGCUUAACACAUGCAAGUCGAACGGAAAGGCCCUGCUUGUGUGGGGUGCUCGAGUGGCGAACGGGUGAGUAACACGUGAGUAACCUGCCCUUGACUUUGGGAUAACUUCAGGAAACUGGGGCUAAUACCGGAUAGGAGCUCCUGCUGCAGGGUGGGGGUGGGAAAGUUUGGGCUGGUGGGGAUGGACUCGCGGGUUAACAGCUUGUUGGGUGGGGAGUGGCUUACCAAGGCUUUGGCGGGUAGCCGGCCUGAGAGGGUGACCGGCCACCUGGGGCCUGAGAUAGGGCCCAGACUCGAACGGGGGGCAGAGGGGGGAAAUCUGGCACAACGGGCGGACGCGGGUUGAAGAAACCCCCCGGGCGGGAUGCCGGCUUUCGGGUUGAAAACCGCUUUAGCCUGAGACGAAGCUGUAGUGACGGUACCGGGUGAAGAAGCACCGGCUAACUACGUG